rnacentral:rRNA from 1 species
UACGGGGGGGGCAAGCGUUGUUCGGAAUUACUGGGCGUAAAGGGCUCGUAGGCGGCCAACUAAGUCAGACGUGAAAUCCCCAGGCUCAACCUGGGAACUGCGUCUGAUACUGGAUGGCUUGAAUCCGGGAGAGGGAUGCAGAAUUCCAGGUGUAGCGGUGAAAUGCGUAGAUAUCUGGAGGAAUACCGGUGGCGAAGGCAGCUCUCUGGGACGGUACUGACGCUGAGACGCGAAAGCGUGGGGAGCGAACAGG